UACGAAGGGGGCUAGCGUUGCUCGGAAUCACUGGGCGUAAAGGGUGCGUAGGCGGGUCUUUAAGUCAGGGGUGAAAUCCUGGAGCUCAACUCCAGAACUGCCUUGGAUACUGAGGAUCUUGAGUUCGGGAGAGGUGAGUGGAACUGCGAGUGUAGAGGUGAAAUUCGUAGAUAUUCGCAAGAACACCAGUGGCGAAGGCGGCUCGCUGGCCCGAUACUGACGCUGAGGCACGAAAGCGUGGGGAGCAAACAGG
rnacentral:rRNA from 1 species